AGUGAACGCUGGCGGUAGGCCUAACACAUGCAAGUCGAACGGCAGCACAGUAAGAGCUUGCUCUUACGGGUGGCGAGUGGCGGACGGGUGAGGAAUACAUCGGAAUCUACUUUUUCGUGGGGGAUAACGUAGGGAAACUUACGCUAAUACCGCAUACGACCUACGGGUGAAAGCAGGGGAUCUUCGGACCUUGCGCGAUUGAAUGAGCCGAUGACGGAUUGGCUAGUUGGCGGGGUCAAGGCCCACCAAGGCGACGAUCCGUAGCUGGUCUGAGAGGAUGAUCGGCCACACUGGAGCUGGGACACGGUCCAGGCUCCUACGGGAGGCAGCAGUCGGGAAUAUUGGGCAAUGGGCGCGAACCUGAUCCAGCCAUCCCGCGUGGGUUAAGAAGGCCUUCGGGUUGUGAAGCCCUUUUGCUGGGAAAGAAACGCAGCCGGUUAAUACCCCGCUGUUCUGACGGUACCCAAAGAAUAAGCACCGGCUAACUUCGUG
rnacentral:rRNA from 1 species